rnacentral:rRNA from 1 species
GACGAACGCUGGCGGCGUGCUUAACACAUGCAAGUCGAACGAAGUGGCGAACGGGUGAGUAUAACGCGGGUAACUUGCGCUCCUUUUUGGGAUAAGCCUUGGAAACGUGGUCCAAUACCGAAUAAAGGGGGAUGGGCUCGGGGCCUAUCAGCUUGUUGGUGGGGUGCUGGCCUAACAAGGCGGUGACGGGUAGCCGGCCUGAGAGGGUACCCGGCCACAUAGGGACUGAGCUGCCGCCCAGACUCGUACGGGGGGGAGCAGUGGGGGAUAUUGCACAAUGGGCGAAAGCGUGAUGCAGCGACGCUGAGUGGGGGAUGAAGGCUUUCGAGUUGUAAACCUGUUUCGCUAGCGAACGGGUAGGUGGAGAAGAAGCACCGGCUAACUACGUGCCAGCAGCCGCGGUAAUUC